UACAGGGGGGGGCAAGCGUUUGUUCGGAAUUACUGGGCGUAAAGGGCCAGUAGGCGGCCAACUAAGUCCGACGUGAAAUCCCCAGCUUAACCUGGGAACUGCGUCGGAUACUGGAUGGCUUGAAUUCGGGAGAGGGAUGCAGAAUUCCAGGUGUAGCGGUGAAAUGCGUAGAUAUCUGGAGGAAUACCGGUGGCGAAGGCGGCAUCCUGGACCGACAUUGACGCUGAACGGCGAAAGCUAGGGGAGCAAACGGG
rnacentral:rRNA from 1 species